ACAGACUAUAAUUCUUUUUCUACAAUUUUCAUUAUUUAAACUACCGUUUUUUUCACAUUGAAGUGAAAUGAACUGAAAUAUUUUAUCAAAAUAUCGAAAUUUUAUCAUAAUCUUUGAAUGCAAUUACAAGAUUCAAAUAUAAAGUAGAAUUAAAGCUUUACUACUCAAAUGAAGGACACAACCUUCAGCUAACUUCUGAGCCUAACAAGGAAGCACGUAACUAUUUGAAUUUCUUAAUUAAUUGAACUAAAUUAUAUCUAAAUUUAAUUAUUUUUCUUUGCAGAUAGUUUUAUUAUGUUAGAUGAGAAAACUAAAUAAAAAGGGUAAAUUGUUAAUUUUGUUUAAUUUAUGAUAAUUUUUAAUUUGCUUAUUUGUAAUAACCUUAAAUUCCCAAUUUUUACUCCUUGCUCAACUCCCCACAAUAAGUGUUUAAUAAAUUUCGGUUAAUUAUAUUAAACGAAACGACAACAACAACAACAGUUAGUGCUAAUACAAAUAGUUGUAUUUCAAAACUACGUUCGAAUCAACGAAAAAGAAAAUGGUGCAUAUUUGACUAUGGACCAUUAACAGAAACCCGUAAAUCCGAACUUGUGCUAUUGAAUUCAGGUUACAAGACCGGCAUUAUGGGAGUCUGUCAAUGUAAACAACAUAAAAAAAAAGUAAUAGAGAAACUUGUUCAGAAAUAACACUGAGAGCCUGUACGAUUUGGACAGCCAGUAAACCUUAAAAGUCCUGCCACAAUAAACUCCCUUUCCCGUAAUUAAUAAAUCUUGAUUUUUUUAUUUAAUCAAAUAAAAAAAGAAAAAAAAUUUAAAAAGCCACCUUUAAGUUAAGAGUUUAUAAUCUCAACUAA